CACAGACUGGAACUGCCCUGCCCAGCACACGCAGGUCUCGUGCUGAAAAGCAACCCGCUCCCUUCGCCUGCGCAAAGGGGACGGCUUUGGGACAGCCCUCUCUCCUACAAUAACUUUAAAACCCCUCCCUGCAAUUCCCAGAUUCGUCCCUUCCUCCCAGCCUCUCCCCAGCCCUGGUCCCUCAACUUAGCUUUCAGAGGGCCGAGGGGCUGAAUCCAUCAUCCAGAAAAAUCACACGGGCUAACUGGGAUAUUCCUGCAGUUGCCAGGCUCCUCUUCGUCAUCUGCAGGGAA